rnacentral:tRNA from 1 species
GCGUCGGUGGUAAUAACGGUUAGCAUAGCUGCCUUCCAAGUAGUUGACUCGGGUUCGACUCCCGGCCGACGCA